rnacentral:rRNA from 1 species
AGAGUUUGAUCAUGGCUCAGAACGAACGCUGGCGGCAGGCUUAACACAUGCAAGUCGAGCGCCCCGCAAGGGGAGCGGCAGACGGGUGAGUAACGCGUGGGAACGUACCAUUUGCUACGGAAUAACUCAGGGAAACUUGUGCUAAUACCGUAUGAGCCCGAAAGGGGAAAGAUUUAUCGGCAAAUGAUCGGCCCGCGUUGGAUUAGCUAGUUGGUGGGGUAAAGGCCUACCAAGGCGACGAUCCAUAGCUGGUCUGAGAGGAUGAUCAGCCACACUGGGACUGAGACACGGCCCAGACUCCUACGGGAGGCAGCAGUGGGGAAUAUUGGACAAUGGGCGCAAGCCUGAUCCAGCCAUGCCGCGUGAGAGAUGAAGGCCCUAGGGUUGUAAAGCUCUUUCACCCGGUGAAGAUAAUGACCGUACCCGAGAG